rnacentral:rRNA from 1 species
GACAGAGGGUGCAAACGUUGCUCGGAAUUACUGGGCGUAAAGCGCGUGUAGGCGGUCUCGCGAGUCGGGUGUGAAAGCCCGGGGCUCAACCCCGGACGUGCAUUCGAUACUACGAGGCUGGAGUACUGUAGAGGAGAGCGGAAUUCCCGGUGUAGAGGUGAAAUUCGUAGAUAUCGGGAGGAACACCAAUUGCGAAGGCAGCUCGCUGGGACGUUACUGACGCUGAGACGCGAAAGCGUUGGGGAGCAAACAGG